CAUGUUCCUUCCAGGAUUGUCUGACACUUCUCCAACCAGAUGGUCAGACGCAGCGUAUACCACGGGUUUGGCAGCGAUCUACCGGGAACAAUUGCUUUGGGGCUGUUGGCCAUGGCAUCCAGGUUUGGAAAUUUUUCCACCACUUCAGCCCCUUUGGGAGAUCUACCCCAUUGUAGCAGCUGCUGUGGCAUGGGGUAAAUCAUGGUCAGGGUCAUCAAUCCGUUGUUACUCAGACAACUAAGCACAUAUCAUAUCAUCAACAAACGCCACUACUCAUCCAUAAGGUCAUGAUGUUUCUGGGGAACUCACUUGGUUGUCCACUUAUCACAUUUCACUUUCAUGUACCAGACGGGGGUAUACAUCCCUGCCGACAACUGUCUCAUUUAUAUUCCAGGCAUGUUCAUCAUACGCUUCCUACAGCCGCCCAUACAGUCACGUCCACUCUUUCGUUCCAGAGACAAAAUCAUGGAUUAGACAUACUCAUGCAGCAUAGCAUGCACUAUCCCACCUAGCACUUUCGUCCCAUACUUGUAGAACGCAUAACACAGCUUUUCACCUGGCUUAAAGAAUCUCAUUGGAACACGACAUAGCUCAACCUGUGUCACAAAAUUUCUCCUAAGUUUUGCUUAUUUU